rnacentral:rRNA from 1 species
GAUGAACGCUGGCGGCGUGCCUAAUACAUGCAAGUCGAGCGAAUGGAUUAAGAGCUUGCUCUUAUGAAGUUAGCGGCGGACGGGUGAGUAACACGUGGGUAACCUGACCAUAAGACUGGGAUAACUCCGGGAAACCGGGGCCAAUACCGGAUAACAUUUUGAACCGCAUGGCUCGAAAUCGAAAGGCGGCUUCGGCUUCCAUCUACGGAUGGCCCCGCGUCGCAUUAGCUAGUUGGUGAGGUAACGGCUCACCAAGGCAACGAUGCGUAGCGGACCUGAGAGGGUGAUCGGCCACACUGGGACUGGGACACGGCCCAGACUCCUACGGGAGGCAGCAGUAGGGAAUCUUUCGCAAUGGACGAAAGGCUGGCGGCGCAACGCCGCGUGAGUGAUGAAGGCUUUCGGGUCGUAAAACUCUGUUGUUAGGGAAGAACAAGUGCUAGUUGAAUAAGCUGGCACCUUGACGGUACCUAACCAGAAAGCCACGGCUAACUACGUGCCAGCAGCCGCCGUAA